rnacentral:rRNA from 1 species
ACCCGCUGAACUUAAGCAUAUCAAUAAGCGGAGGACAAGAAACCAACAGGGAUUGCCUUAGUAACGGCGAGUGAAGCGGCAACAGCUCAGAUUUGGAAUCUGGCUGCUGGCAUCAGCAGCCCGAGUUGUAGUCUGCAGAGGAUGUCUUAGGGGCUGCAGCCAGGCGCAAGUGCCUUGGAAGAGGCCGCCAGAGAGGGUGAGAGUCCCGUCCUGGCCUGGCUGUGUGCCCCGCUGCAAGACUCCCUCGAAGAGUCGAGUUGUUUGGGAAUGCAGCUCCAAGUGGGUGGUAAAUCCCAUCUAAAGCUAAAUACUGGCCAGAGACCGAUAGCGCACAAGUAGAGUGAUCGAAAGAUGAAAAGCACUUUGAAAAGAGAGUCAAACAGCACGUGAAAUUGCUAAAAGGGAAGCGCUUGCAGCCAGACUCCCAGUGCAGUCAGUCUGGCGCUGCCCUUGGGUGGUGCCGCUACUUGACUGUGCCUGGAGCCAGCAUCAGCCCAGAGAGCAGGAAAAACGCAGCAGGAAUGUGGUUCUGGCUUGCCAGAAUGUUACAGCCUGCAGUGGUAUGCUGCUUCUCUGCGCUGAGGGUCCUGCGCCGCAAGGCUAGGAUGCUGGCCUAAUGGCUGC